UACGAAGGGUGCAAGCGUUACUCGGAAUUACUGGGCGUAAAGGGUGCGUAGGUGGUCGUUUAAGUCCGUUGUGAAAUCCCUGGGCUCAACCUGGGAAUGGCAGUGGAUACUGGACGGCUAGAAUGCGGUAGAGGGUAGUGGAAUUCCCGGUGUAGCAGUGAAAUGCGUAGAGAUCGGGAGGAAGACCAGUGGCGAAGGCGGGUCUCUGGACAGUUCCUGACACUGAGACACGAAGGCCAGGGGAGCAAACGGG
rnacentral:rRNA from 1 species